GACACAAUGUUUGCUGGUGACAUUGUUUACCUCUGGAGAGGACUGGAUGGCUGAGGGAUACGAUGAGGACUUUGGAUAUUGGCAAGGUUAAGUAACGUGCACAGUCCACACUCACCAUUGGUAAAGGCAGGACUCAGACCUUGGUCUGAGGGACUUCACACAUAUUCCUAACCAUGACACCAGCCACCUUUCAUCCACUUCAGCUGACAUCUGUCUGGCUUGAGGCCGAAAGAGGGGACACCUUGCAGUCUGCCCGAGCAGCAGCCAUUUGAACCUCCCCCUGGUGCCCUGAGGCUCAAGAACACUUGGAGAGAUAGAAGUGGGAGUUGGCUUGAUUCAUGAAGGAGGAGAGUGAUGGCUUACAAGGGAACGUGGAACACGGAACACUUCAGAUUUUCAACGAUGCUGGAUUUGAGCUGUUCACUUGAAAAUAAAGUCUGUUGCAUCACAAGUGCUGGUUGGCAUCGCUGUCCUCCUAUCAGUGGAUUAAGAAAAGGCACAGCGAAAAACUAGUUUAAAAUCACCAGUCGGAUAUUUUACAGGCGAGGUCCAGCACGAUCACUCACACGGCUGCUGCUAGGCUGGCUCUGCCCGUUAUUCUUCCAUCCUGGCACCAUGCUUCUAAUUUAUCCUGAAUACAUGGAGACUUGAGCACUGAUGGGAUAGAUAAAAAAAACGACAGCAAUCUUCUCUCCAAAAAAGCAACAUAAGACUAGAUAAAAUGGUCAAAAAUAAUCAUUUCAGAAUGAUUCUAGAAAAUGACCAAAGGCAGACAACAAAUUGAGAUGUGUGUUUCGUUUUUUUUGAAUCUACUGGGGCUUGGAAGGAACAGUGGGAGACUAUGGAAUUUUAGCUCAGGGCAGCGUGGUAUAGUUUCACAAUGGAAUACUACUCAGAAAUAAAAGCGAUAAACUGUUGAUACAUGCAACAAUGUGGAUGAAUCUUAAGAUAAUAAUGCUGAGUCAAAGAAGCCAGACAAAAGUAUGUAUAGUGUGAUUCGAAUUAUAUGAAAUUCUACAAAAUAUACACUAAUCUAUAAUGACAGAAAUAGAUCAGGGGUUGCCUGGGGAACUGGGGUGGAGGGUGUGCCAAGAGAGGCAGGAAAGAAGGAUUAUGAAGGGGCAGGAGGAGAGCUUUGGGGAUGGGGAUGUAUUCAUUAUCUUGAUUGUGAUGAUAAAUUCUCCGGUGUACACAUAUAGCAAAAUUUAUCAAAUUAUACACUUUAAACCAUGUGCAGUUUUUGUAUAUGGAUUGUACCAAAAUAAAGUUUUUUAAAGGGAUGCUAAUCAAUGGAUUAUACUACCUGUAGCUUGCCUACACCUCAUCUCCUUCCUCAAAACAGUUAACCUACAGGUACCUAGUAGCUAUUCCAAAACUGCUCCUCGAACUUGUGAAUGAGUAAGAGAAUGAACAAACGCACCCACUUAUCAACCUAUUCUAUGUCCU
rnacentral:lncRNA from 1 species